UUUCCGAUAUCAGUGAUUUCUGUGAAUGCUACUUUUCAGUAUCUGCUAUUCUUAACUGUGAUUUGUCGCAGUUAAGAGUCGCAGUUAAGGAACGUAGGUCGCGUAUCCCUCCGCCACUGCUAUUUCUGCGAUUUCUGCUACUUCUGCGAUUUCUGCUACUUCUGCGAUUUCUGCGACUUACCACCGUAUGAAAAAGUUACAUCUGCCCACACAGAAAAUUGCAUCUCAGCAAAUCUGUCAUUGCUAAGUACCUGAACUACAUUUCAGUCACUCAGUAAAUUGAUAACUCAAAAUAUCAUUGUCAACAGAUCUGGAGAAAUUGCCACUGCGUCUUUAGACCGUUUUCGUCAGACGAGAGACACAGUUCUGACUCUUGAUUACUGGUUGCUGUACGUAUCUAUCCACAUCAAGGCUAUUGAGAGAGACUCUUGAAGAUUCAAGACAGCUCUUAGAGGAUUUGCAGUUUAAAAGUGACAUAAUUGUGAAAUAAGUGAGCAGAUGAGUGAUUAAACUGUGUUUUAUUGAAGUUGUUAUGCGAUUUUAAAGGAAUAAUAAAUG